GAUGAACGCUGACAGCAUGCUUAACACAUGCAAGUCAACUGUGGCUUACGGGUGAGUAACGCGAAAAGAACUUGCCUCGCGGGUAGGGACUACGUUUGGAACCCAAUACUAAUGCCUGAUACUGUGAGAGAGCUUUGCGUCCCAUUAGCUAGUUGGGGAGGUAACGGCUCCCCAAGGAGAUGAUGGUUAGCCGGCCUGGGAUGGUGAUCGGCCACAAGGGCACUGAGACACGGCCCUUAGGCAUUCGGGGGGCAGCGGUGGGGAUUAUAGGGCAAUGGACCAAAGUGUGAACAAGGAAUUCUGUGUGCAAGAUGAUGUUUUCGGAAUGUAAAGUGCUUUCAGUUGGGAAGCGGUACCAACAGAAGAAGCGACGGCUAAAUACGUGCCAGCAGCCGCGGUAAUAC
rnacentral:rRNA from 1 species